GGUUAGGGUGGAUUGGCCGUGCUAAAUUGUCCCGUAGUGCCCAGGGAUGUGCAGGUUAGGGUGGAUUGGCCGUGCUAAAUUGUCCCAUAGUGCCCAGGGAUGUGCAGGUUAUGGUGGAUUAUAGGGGGAAUAGGUCUGGGUGGGAUGUUCAGAGGGUCAGCGUGGAUGUGUUGGACUGAAUGGCCUGUUUCCACACGUUGGGGAUGCUAUGAUUUUGUUAGCCACCACCCACCACCCACCCACCCACUUUAAUGGUGGCCCCGAAGCACGGUUCUGAUUUGAAGAAGCAGCGUCUUUGCAUGUCUCUACCUCACACUCUCAUGUCCGCCUCUCUCCAGGCUGAAUAAUAACAAGCUGACGGCCCUGUGCGCACUGCAGUUGACUCAAGUACUCAACACAAACCACUCGCUCACACAGCUCAGUCUGAGUUACAACCGGCUCAGCAACCUGGGAUUGAGGAGGCUAUGUACGGCACUGAGGGCACCGGCCUGUCAGAUACAGAAACUGGAGCUCGAUGACAAUGGACUCCGAGAUGCGUGCGCUGAGGAACUAGCCUCAGCCCUCAGCAGGAACCAAAGGUUGAAAGGACUAUAUUUGAACAGGAACAGCUUCAGUGACCAGUCCAUCCCUGCUUUCAGCCAUCUGGUAGACCGCUGCAAAAGCCUGAGAUACAUCUGGUUAUGGAGAAAUCUGUUCAGCGCAAAUGGCCGGACCAAGCUACAAUCGCUCCAUCAAGACGUGCGCGGAGUAACCAUUUUUGUAUGAAUGCGGGAAACCGUUUCAACUGUUCAAGAAAUAAUUGACUUGGGUGCAGUCUCAUCA